CUGGAGUGGGGAAUAACUGAGGGAAACCUUAGCUAAUACCGCAUAAUACCUACGGGUCAAAGGAGCAAUUCGCUUCAGGAGGGGGUCGCGGCCGAUUAGUUAGUUGGCGGGGUAAUGGCCCACCAAGACAGUGAUCGGUAUCCGGCCUGAGAGGGCGCACGGACACACUGGAACUGAAACACGGUCCAGACUCCUACGGGAGGCAGCAGUGGGGAAUUUUGCGCAAUGGGGGAAACCCUGACGCAGCAACGCCGCGUGGAGGAUGAAAUCCCUUGGGAUGUAAACUCCUUUCGAUCGGGACGAUUAUGACGGUACCGGAAGAAGAAGCCCCGGCUAACUUCGUGCCAGCAGCCGCGGUAAUACGAGGGGGGCAAGCGUUGUUCGGAAUUAUUGGGCGUAAAGGGAGCGUAGGCGGUUUUGUAAGUCGUGUGUGAAAUCUUCGGGCUCAACUCGAAGUCUGCACACGAAACUGCAGGGCUUGAGUAUGGGAGAGGUGAGUGGAAUUCCUGGUGUAGCGGUGAAAUGCGUAGAUAUCAGGAGGAACACCUGUGGCGAAAGCGGCUCACUGGACCAUUA
rnacentral:rRNA from 1 species